rnacentral:rRNA from 1 species
AAAGAAAAUAACAAUGAUUCCCUCAGUAACGGCGAGCGACGUGGGAUAAGCUCAAAUUUUAAAUCUGUUGGGUUCCACUUAACAGAGUUGUAUUUUGAAGAAACGUUUUCUGCAUCCAGGAUUAGCCUAAAUCCUUUGGGAUAAGGUAUCAUGGAGGGUGAGAAUCCCGUUCAUGGUUAAUCUUAAGGAAGCUCUACGAUACGUUUUCCAAGAGUCGAGUUGUUUGGGAUUGCAGCUCAAAAUGGGAGGUAAAUUUCUCCUAAGGCUAAAUAUUGGCGAGAGACCGAUAGCGAACAAGUACCGUGAGGGAAAGAUGAAAAGAACUUUGAAAAGAGAGUUAAACAGUACGUGAAAUUGUUGAAAGGGAAACGAUUGAAG